rnacentral:lncRNA from 1 species
CUCAGACAGGGAGCUGACUGCUGCAGAAACGGCUGAGGAGAAGCAGCAGCAGAGGGCCCAGGAGCUGAGGGCAGGUCUGGGUACCCUGCUGGAUCUGGACUCCCUAGCGAGGACAUCAUGCAAGCAUUUGUGGUAGAGCGAGCUGACCCUUCCAUGUGGAGGAGAAGAGACACAGACAUGCACACAGAGGAAAGAUGAUGUGAAGACAGAGACACACAAGGAGAAACCAUGUGAUGACAGAGGCGGAGAUUGGAGUGACGCAUCUACAAGCCGAGGAAUGCCCGGGAUGGCCGGCAAUAGCAGAACGAGGCAUGGAGC